UACGUAGGGAGCAAGCGUUGUCCGGAAUCAUUGGGCGUAAAGCGCGCGUAGGUGGCCUCAUAAGUCCGCUGUGAAAGUCAAAGGCUCAACCUUUGAAAGCCGGUGGAUACUGUGAGGCUAGAGUACGGAAGAGGCGAGUGGAAUUUCUGGUGUAGCGGUGGAAUGCGCAGAUAUCAGGAGGAACACCAAUAGCGAAGGCAGCUCGCUGGGACGUUACUGACACUGAGGCGCGAAAGCGUGGGGAUCAAACAGG
rnacentral:rRNA from 1 species